rnacentral:rRNA from 1 species
GACGAACGCUGGCGGCGUGCUUAACACAUGCAAGUCGAACGGAAAGGCCCCCUUGUGGGGUACUCGAGUGGCGAACGGGUGAGUAACACGUGAGUAACCUACCCUUGACUUUGGGAUAACUUCAGGAAACUGGGGCUAAUACCGGAUAGGAGCUCCUGCUGCAUGGUGGGGGUUGGAAAGUUUCGGCGGUUGGGGAUGGACUCGCGGCUUAUCAGCUUGUUGGUGGGGUAGUGGCUCACCAAGGCUUUGACGGGUAGCCGGCCUGAGAGGGUGACCGGCCACAUUGGGAGUGAGAUACGGCCCAGACGCAUACGGGAGGCAGCAGUGGGGAAUAUUGCACAAUGGGCGGAAGCCGGAUGCAGCAACGCCGCGUGCGGGAUGACGGCCUUCGGGUUGUAAACCGCUUUCGCCUGUGACGAAGCGUGAGUGACGGUAAUGGGUAAAGAAGCACCGGCUAACUACGUG